rnacentral:rRNA from 1 species
UACGUAGGCAGCGAGCGUUGUUCGGAGUUACUGGGCGUAAAGGGUGUGUAGGCGGUUGUUUAAGUUUGGUGUGAAAUCUCCCGGCUCAACUGGGAGGGUGCGCCGAAUACUGAAUGACUUGGAGUGCGGGAGAGGAGAGUGGAAUUCCUGGUGUAGCGGUGAAAUGCGUAGAUAUCAGGUGGAACACCGGUGGUGUAGACGGCUCUCUGGACCGUAACUGACGCUGAGACACGAAAGCGUGGGUAGCAAACAGG